AACAAUGAUCUAUGAACUCUAUUUAUAAUUUAUUUUGCACUACCAUAAACCAAGUCAUUACAAACACUACUUGCCUUCAUGCCUUGGUCCAUCAAGUAUUCUCAAGAUUUUAGUGUAAUAUCAAGUCAACAUUGUUUAGAAAACUUAGCCCAUUGAAUAACCUUAACAAGAACAUUUUCACAGAGCGAUGUGUUACUAUUUAUACAUCAAAGCUUAACCAGCUGCAGAUUUUUCCUACAUCAAAACUAAUUACUCGUCUAUGAGGUAGUUAUUUCACCACAUGCAAAUUUCUUCUGAUUACCGCCAGCACCCCUCAUAAGCAGUCCUGCUUUCUAUCAAGAAGUUGCAUCUUCAUCAAAUGUUAAUGUCUCAUUUUCUUCCUUGAUGUCUGAAUCCCAAUACUAUUUAUUUUCAUGGAUAUAGGACGCUUUGCUUCCACCUUAGUAUAUAUAUUCCUGCCAUGUCGUUUGUAAAGACAUGUCUACUUUGUAGUAUGCAAUGUAUCGUGCACCUGUGUCUUCUCAGCUAUCUGCAGGCAUUCUCCAGUCACCAGCUCUGACUGUUUCGCAUACACGCUGAUAAUUUUGCCUUGGUUGUAGGCAAGUAGGCUGGUAUAUUCAGCUAUCAUCAGGAACUCCUCUUCACAACUGUAUUUUGGCGGUAAAAAAUUCUACUGAGACCAGAUGCAUAAUCAUGGAGGUAGCUCAAUUUUCAAGGCAUAAGAUGGGUAAGUUAUCCCAAAAAAUGAACAACCAUCAUGCAUAUCCAUAUGGGAACGGAGUAUUAAUUACUAACCUUGAAGAACUUUUUUUUGAGAAAAUUACUAACCUUGAAAAACUUUUUUCUUGAACUUGAUGCUGCGGAAUGGUCAUUAUGCGUGUCCAAAUAAAAGGAACUGCUUAUAACUUGGCAGAUUAUGCAAAGCUAAAAGAAUAACUGAGUAGUGGAUGUUCAAGCAUCAAAAAAAAUCGACUGGAUUUUCCUUACCACACAUCAAGUCAAUCUUAACAUUUUUCUGACCCCAUGUCUUCUUCCUUCAGCAGCAACUUAAAAGAUUUCUGCAGAUAGGGUAAAAUCAUGAAGCACUUGUAAAAGAUUGUACUUAACUACAGAAUAAAUAUAAGACAUAUUAGACUUGAGUAUUAUAAAAGAAUGAUGUGAGUCCAGAAAGAAGUCCAAUUUAAGCCCAUGAUGUGCAAAUAGUCCA
rnacentral:lncRNA from 1 species